UUUAAGUGCAAGCAUAAGUUUUCACGUCCAACUUUGAUCGUCUGUCUUAUUUAAAUUUUUUUUUAUAAUUAAUAUUUUUAUUAUUAUGAAAAAAUAAAAUACGAAUAGUACUUUACUCGUUACUUGUGUUUUUAAAUGUUUUCAAAAAAAUUUUAAAUAAGAUGGAUGGUCAAAGUUAGACACAAAAAUCAUGGCUACACUUAAA
rfam:Oryza sativa Japonica Group DNA, chromosome 6, cultivar: Nipponbare, complete sequence.